GACGAACGCUGGCAGCGUGCCUAAUACAUGCAAGUCGAGCGGACAGAAGGGAGCUUGCUCCCGGAAGUUAGCGGCGGACGGGUGAGUAACACGUGGGCAACCUACCCUGUAGAUCGGGAUAACAUCGAGAAAUCGGUGCUAAUACCGGAUAAUCAUUUGAAGUGCAUGCUUCGAAUGUAAAAGAUGGCUCCGGCUAUCACUACGGGAUGGGCCCGCGGCGCAUUAGCUAGUUGGUAAGGGAAUGGCUUACCAAGGCAACGAUGCGUAGCCGACCUGAGAGGGUGAACGGCCACACUGGGACUGAGACACGGCCCAGACUCCUACGGGAGGCAGCAGUAGGGAAUCUUCCGCAAUGGACGAAAGUCUGACGUAGCAACGCCGCGUGAGUGAUGAAGGUUUUCGGAUCGUAAAGCUCUGUUGUUAGGGAAGAACAAGUGCCGUUUGAAUAAGGCGGCACCUUGACGGUACCUAACCAGAAAGCCACGGCUAACUACGUGCCAGCCGCCGCGGUAAUAC
rnacentral:rRNA from 1 species